GACGAACGCUGGCGGCGUGCUUAACACAUGCAAGUCGAACGGAAAGGCCCCUUUGGGGGUCCUCGAGUGGCGAACGGGUGAGCAACACGUGAGUAACCUGCCCUUGACUUCGGGAUAACUUCAGGAAACUGGGGCUAAUACCGGAUAGGAAUCCUUGCUGCAUGGUGGGGGUUGGAAAGCUUCGGCGGUUUUGGAUGGACUCGCGGCUUAUCAGCUUGUUGGUGGGGUAGUGGCUUACCAAGGCUUUGACGGGUAGCCGGCCUGAGAGGGCGACCGGCCACAUUGGGACUGAGAUACGGCCCAGACUCCUACGGGAGGCAGCAGUGGGGAAUAUUGCACAAUGGGCGGAAGCCUGAUGCAGCAACGCCGCGUGCGGGAUGACGGCCUUCGGGUUGUAAACCGCUUUCAGCAGGGGCGAAGCUUGUGGUGACGGUACCUGCAGAAGAAGCACCGGCUAACUACGUG
rnacentral:rRNA from 1 species